UACGUAGGGGGCGAGCGUUAUCCGGAUUCACUGGGUGUAAAGGGCGUGUAGCCGGGUUGACAAGUCAGAUGUGAAAUCCUGCGGCUUAACCGCAGAACUGCAUUUGAAACUGUUGAUCUUGAGUACUGGAGAGGCAGACGGAAUUCCUAGUGUAGCGGUGAAAUGCGUAGAUAUUAGGAGGAACACCAGUGGCGAAGGCGGUCUGCUGGACAGCAACUGACGGUGAGGCGCGAAAGCGUGGGGAGCAAACAGG
rnacentral:rRNA from 1 species